GGAUCACGGAAAUCAAAUCCGAUUUUCUAUCGGUACACUCUAAAGCUUAAUUUGCAAUUUUUGAAUAAAUCCCGAGAUAAUUAAUUAAUGAAUUUAAUUAAGUAGUUAAAUAAAUUAAAUUUGAUAUUGUUAAAUAUAUUCCAUGAAUAUUAAUUAUAACUAUAAAAUCGGUGUUGAAAUAUAAAUUUCUAGCUAAUAAUAAUGUAAGUAAAAUUUGGAAAUUUUAUUAGUAAGUAAAUAGUUAUAGCAUAAUUAAUUAUAAUGAGAAUUUAAUUUGAUUAAGAAUAUGCCCGAUGAAUAGACUGUGAAUUGAAUGAAAGAAUGAAUGAUGGUUAUGGCGGACGAGAUGAGUUAAUGUGAAUUGCCCGAUGGAUGGGCUGUGUGUUGACAUAUGGUUUAUGUAAAAAUUUGGAUAGUCCAGUUUAUAGAGGAAAUGCUGCCGAAAUUUUUAUAGAACACUUAAUGAAGAAUUAAAUUAGUUAUAUUCUUAAUAAGUAGUGACGACUAAAAUUUUAGGUAUUAAGAAAUAUUAUACAAUAUUAUAAUUAUCAUUAUACAAUAUUCCUCACUGAAUAAUUAGAGAUUUUAUCUAAAGGUUAUAAAUUAGAAUAAUUAUUUAUAUAAAUGAGAGAACCUAGAUAUAUAUGCAUAUAUAACAAGUGAAUUAAAUGACCAGUAGCCAAAAUAAAUAAACGAAUGUGAAAUAUAAGUUUUUGAAUUAAAAUUCUUAUUUAGAAUUUUCUUGUUUAUUUUAAAGGUUUAUAAAAUACAAAAUGCGAGGACAAAAGCUGGAAGCAUGUGGCUAAAAAGGCAGUCCUUUUAAAGGACAAUAAAGAACUGUGAGUAGUGUUAGAUAACUAGUAUCAUCCACCUGCAUUCAUGCAUUCACGGCUAAAUGUUAUCAUGCAUUAUUUUGUUGAAUUGCCAUAUCGUGCUGCACUAUUUGUAUUGCUUGAUUCGCUGUGAUGUGAUAUUGCUGUGCUUUGCUUGUGUGGAAUUGGGAUGAAGUGGGUCACCAUGGGUUUGUGAGACUGUUUCUGUUAUAUGGAUCCUGAUUAUGAUUCUGAUUCUGUUAUAUGGAUCCUGAUUCUGAUUUCUGUUAGCCGGGUAAAUGGGAGAUCGGCGCCNNNNNN
rnacentral:lncRNA from 1 species